rnacentral:rRNA from 1 species
AUUGAACGCUGGCGGCAGGCCUAACACAUGCAAGUCGAACGAGUGGCGGACGGGUGAGUAAUGUCUGGGAAACUGCCUGAUGGAGGGGGAUAACUACUGGAAACGGUAGCUAAUACCGCAUACCAUCGGAUGUGCCCAGAUGGGAUUAGCUAGUAGGUGGGGUAAAGGCUCACCUAGGCGACGAUCCCUAGCUGGUCUGAGAGGAUGACCAGCCCCACUGUAACUGAGACACUGUCCAGACUCCGACAGGAGGCAGCAGUGGGGAAUAUUGCACUAUGGGCGCAAGCAUGAUGCAGCCAUGCCGCGUGUAUGAAGAAGGCCUUCGGGUUGUAAAGUACUUUCAGCGGUGAGGCGUUACCCGCAGAAGAAGCACCGGCUAGCUCCGUGCCAGCCGCCGCGGUAAUUC